CACUCCUACCUCCCACCUUGACAAAAAAUCUCAACCAAACCCGGAGAACCAAAACCCACCUUAGAAGGGAGCGAUGCCCCUCGCACGCUAGAGAAUUGAACAACAAAAAACCUACGAAGAAAAAAAAACCUCGAGCUCCGAUGGGAACGAGGCUCCCCUCGAUCUCAAACAACGCUAGGGUUUGCCCAGCCGCCACGCUCCGUGCUGCCGCCCAAGGCCCACUCCGCCCCCACCGCUCCCCGCAACGCCACUGCCGGAGGGCCGGCCGGCGAAGCCGCGCCGUGCCCAGGGACGGCAGCGGCGGGGCGGUUCCGUCUCCCUACCUCCUGCCAGAGCCCCCACCCCACCAUACGUAGAUCCGGCCAGGAGCCCCGCCGCCGAUGAGGGCCACACCGGCGAUCUCACGCAACCUACCUGCCUCCUGUUUCCUCUCCGUUCUCCUCCUUCUCUCUCCGACCCCUGGUUCAUCCGCGGUCGCAGCUCGCCCCGAUUCACGGCCCUCUCCUUCCGCCAACUCUGGUUCGUCGCCGGUCGUCUUUGGCGCGAGCGUCGCGCCUCCUCCUCAACCUCCACGAUCCGUGAUGCCCUAACUACACUGCGCACGUGCGCCUCGCGAGCCAUGGCCACCUUUUGCCGAGCUGCGGGAUCGACGUCUGAUCGCCACCACGACCAGCCUCUUGCGAAGGUUCCGGUCGUCGUCUCCUGUGCCUUUGGACCUUGGGAGCGACUGGGUGAUUAUAUGCCAGCAUAUGUGGAGGACGAUGGGAAGACGAAGCUAGAGGCCAAAAGCAAUAUUGCAACACCAUGCGUGAGGAACAUGAUUCUGCCAGUAUUUAAGCAUUAUACUUGCUAACACUGAGAGCUUAAUUAUCUUUGAUGCAACCAGUCCGUCCAAGCAUGCAAAUAGUUGAUUUGGGAUGUAGAGAUUAAAGAACAGCAAAAUCGUAAGCCAUCGGGUCAGGAUGUGAGGUUCAGAAUUGUCUUGGCAUCUUCCAGUGUGGCGGCAAUGUUGAUUGUCUGGAUUUGAAGAUAAGUGUGCUCCAUACCGUGGCUGAGCCUGUCGGUUUCGCACAGUGGCUGCACGACACCUCAUGGACCCGAUGUGAAGUGCCAAUUCAUGGUGCAGGACAAGUAAGCCAUCCACACGAAGUCGGCCGCAGCAAGGGUGUGGGGUGUCGGGAGGAGCAUCUGGGUUGAAGGUUCUGGCCCUCGCCAUUGAGACUACCGUGGUCGUCGCCGAGUACAUCUGGGGAAGGUGGAGCUGCGAGGAAACAAGACAGGUGGACAAUGCGACAGGAAGCAAGAAUGAAUUUCUAAUCAAUCUACUAUCUCCCUUGAGUCGGGGUGAACGUACCGACGCACGAUGUUGUGUUUAAUGAUCUGGAAUCCUAGAGGAUCACCCACCCUCGUAAUUCAGUAUUGAGAUGAUCUCCUUAAUUUCUCAAUUGUGUUUUAUUAAAUUGGAUUCCUGUAAGUAUCCUUGCUCUAAUUUGAUAGUUUUACCCUCCCGAGCAUGUUGUGCUUCCAUAAAAACAUGAAUAUUUCUCAGCCAUUUUAUUGAAAAUGUAGUCGUAUGCUUUCACAUUGACUCUGGAUAUUCUCCUAAACGAAGGUCAAUAACAAUUGAUUUUAUCAGCAACAGGAGGCGCUUAUCAGUCGCCAUCAAGUGCCUCAAUCAGUGCGGCGUCCAGGUAUACACAUUGCUUCAUCUCCUGUGCUAUCUCAUCGUCUAGACAAUGUAUCCAUGGGUGACCCCUGUACUCACCUCAUCUCCAGAUUAGAAGAUAAGUGUCAGUAGGAGGGUAGGAUCUAGGCAAUUGCAGUACUGAUUGUCCAGCUAGGCAACAAAGUCGACGGGGCAAAUAACAUAAUCUUCAGAUUAAGUUAUAUUCGAAAGUCAGUAGGCUUUUCAUGAUUGCCAGUGGUAAAACAAGCAUAUAUUUCUUUUGAUUAUUGACAUAGCACAGCUUAGUAGAGUGGACCAACCAACAUUGGGUUUGGGAGGUCAUUUAAUAGGAAACACUUCGCUGCAAGUUUCUUCACCAUUGAACACAAUUCAUCACGAGACUAUAUAUGCUGGCUGUCAUGCAUGUACGUCUAUAACUAAAUAAAGGGCAGCCCUAGUGCAUGUAGCUCCUGCUUGCGCAGGGUCUGGGGAAGGGUCCGACCACUUUGGGUCUAUUGUACGCAACCUUUCCCUACAUUUCUGCAAGAGGAUGUUUCCAGGACUUGAACCCGUGACCUCAUGGUCACAAGGCAGCAGCUUUACCACUACGUCUGUAACUAAAUAAUUACAGGAUGUUGUGUGCUUGUUCUAUGUCUAGCACUAAAGAUGUUCGAAUUUUUGUACCAGUUUCCAAUAGAUCAUUUCCUACAACAAUAUUUGUUUUGCAAUCCAAACAAGUAAAUGUCUUGUAAAGAAGUAGAUGUUUCUGCAUAUGAACACACCAUUCAAGUUAUUUACAGAAUAAUCUUCUUGGAGCGAUCAUAAUUUCGCGCAUGUUUACAUCAUUAUUCAUGUGUGGGUUGUAUUGUGUUUUCUUUUGUGGGGUGCCGGACGGGCUACUGACGGUACUAGCAUGUUUGGGCUGGGGAGACAGAGAUGGUAUGCAGAGUAAGAAGAGUGAUUUAAGGGGAGAGAAAUCAUAACAGGGGUUGGUGUGGAGCAGAAGAGGGUGAAGGAAGACUUGUGGGGAGCUGCGAGGAAUAGAUUUUGGGGUAAUUGCUCAUGGUUUCAAGGUUGCACAAAGGAGAGGAGGCAUGGUUCAAGGUUGUCUUCUGGCACUGGUUUGCCAGCUAGGUCCUCGACGACAUCUGCGCCUCAUAGGUGUUUAGGUGCAGACAUCACAGGUGAACUGCAUCUUUCUAUCUAAAUUUCUUACGUCAAGAGCUGGGAAUAUUUGAAACAUCUGAAUUGCUUAUAUCAACACUAUAAUAGAAAAUACUAUUCUGAAAUAAUACAAAACACCGGGAUAAACUGGGCACUGGAGCCAUAUUGACACAGAACCCAUGAUCAAUGAUGUGUGAGCCAAGUCUUGAUACAUGUGAACUUACAGCCACCCAUUGAGUACAUGACUUCUUCCAUCUUCUAUUCUUUUGUUUUCCAGUGCAGAUAUUCCACCGUGCAUUGUAUUUGACCAUACUUAACCAAGUUGAUUCAUAUCAUUAAGUAUAUUUUGGUUUUCUUCCAGUUUAUUAGGCAUGGACCAGACACAAAUUCUGAAGCUUCAAUAAUUUCGGUGGUCUAAUAGUUCCUGUAUAGCUUGAUGUCGUAUCAGGUGUAAUUUUUUGUUGUUGCUUGAUGUUGUAUCAAGACAAGCUAGGGUCAACAAGGAACAAAGGGGUUGACACAUGGAGAAGCGGGAGCAUAAAAUUCAAAAGGUAAUGAACAUGUGUAUGGAUACACCGGUGAGUGAAUGGUGUGGCACAUUGAAUCAGAGAGGAGUAGUUGCUAGUCUGGUAUGAAAAACAGUUGUUUCCCGAUUAGAUUAAGGCCAAACUUAUCUUCAACAUGUGUGCUCUUUCAUCACUAUUUUAGAAGAGGUUCAAUGCAAAAUUCUCAGAUUGCCAGUUUUUACUUCAUUGGAAGCACUUUAUCGAUACGUUUGGAACAAUUCUCAGAUUCCAUGAAACAUAUUCGUGGCACCAAUUUUAACUAAAUAAUAAAGCAAUCUCAAUUUUGUUCUGUAAAAAAUUAAAGCAUUCUCCUUUCCUAUGAGAAAAAGAAAACAUACACUCCAAUUGAAGGAAGGAGUACAAAGUUGAGUCAUUUUUCAGUCACUUAUUGCGGGACGGAGGGAGUACAACAUUGAAGCGAUUGCCAAUUCAAGGAAUCAUUUUAUAUGGUCAGUCCAAACAAACAAAAUUUAACCAUAUGGAAACAAUAUUUAGUUUCCAUAGAAUUAAUUUGACCCGAAACAGUUACCAUCCAAAAAAAGGAAGUGAAAAAACCAUAUGAAGGAAACUAAAGUUCCAACAGCAAGGAGUAUCAACAUUUGAAAUAAAAUAUAUUUUCAUACAGAAGUAAUUUACAUCUAUGGAAGCAAUUUUUUGUUCAUCACUAAUCUGUAUCAAUAUGUGUUGUGUUCUCUUUUAGAGAAGUGAACUCUGAAAUCCCUCCUCAUUCCAAACAAUGAAAUUCUAAGGCUGAAAGUACAAUUUUGUUACGACAUGGCUGACUUAGAGAAAAAAUGGGCGUAUUUGGAGCCGGAUGGAAGCAUGGGAAGAUUUGGAGCAGUGUGAAGACGGCGCACGCUGGUGUUGCAAUGACCAAAAGAGCCGAAGUGAAAGGAGAGAUGGAAUGACAAUGACGCAACCUUGUCGUGUGAUUCUUGUAUGUAUAUUUGAGGUCCGUAAGAAAAUAUGUAUUAGUGAGAUAAAGUGAUGGAGAUGCAUCUUAGGUGGAUAUGGAAGCAGAGCCCAGAGAUAAAUAGAGAAUUAUUAGUUUGUGAAUGAA